rnacentral:rRNA from 1 species
UACAGAGAUGGCGACCGUUGUUCGGAAUCACUGGGCUUAAAGAGCACGUAGGCGGAUUGUUAAGUUUAUUGUGAAAGCCCAUAGCUUACCUAUGGAAGAGCAGUAAAAACUGGCGAUCUAGAGUACGAGAGGGGAUAGUGGAACUCCUAGUGGAGCGGUGAAAUGCGUUGAUAUUAGGAGGAACGCCGGUGGCGAAAGCGACUAUCUGGAGCGAUACUGACGCUGAGGUGCGAAAGCUAGGGGAGCAAACGGG